GACGAACGCUGGCGGCGUGCUUAACACAUGCAAGUCGAACGAAGAGCGAUGGACGCUUGCUUCUAUCAAUCUUAGUGGCGAACGGGUGAGUAACGCGUAAUCAACCUGCCCUUCAGAGGGGGACAACAGUUGGAAACGACUGCUAAUACCGCAUACGAUCUAAUCUCGGCAUCGAGGAUAGAUGAAAGGUGGCCUCUACAUGUAAGCUAUCACUGAAGGAGGGGAUUGCGUCUGAUUAGCUAGUUGGAGGGGUGACGGCCCACCAAGGCGAUGAUCAGUAGCCGGUCCGAGAGGAUGAACGGCCACAUUGGGACUGAGACACGGCCCAGACUCCUACGGGAGGCAGCAGUGGGGAAUCUUCCGCAAUGGACGAAAGUCUGACGGAGCAACGCCGCGUGAGUGAUGACGGCCUUCGGGUUGUAAAGCUCUGUUAAUCGGGACGAAAGGCCUUCUUGCGAAUAGUGAGAAGGAUUGACGGUACCGGAAUAGAAAGCCACGGCUAACUACGUG
rnacentral:rRNA from 1 species